GGAACCCAGGAGAACUAGAAGCUCUCUUCUUUUUCCAUCUUUAAAACCUAUUAGAAAUGCGAGGAUGGUCAAGUCUACACGUGUGCCUUCUCAUGAGUUGGCCAAGCUGAAGGCCUCAAAACCAAUGCUACAUUAGAUGAAUUUGUGAGUGAUUGAUUGUGAUGCCACUGACGGCAUUAUCACCCAUUAUCACAUCAUGUUUGCUGUUCUGUUUACCCUUUCCCAGUUUUUAUAGGGGAAUAAAAAUGUGCCAUCAGUUAAGUCAAUGGAUGGCGCUUGCUGCCGCUACUGGUCUUAAACGAUGUCUUGAAAUCAGUUUUGAAUAAUAGUUGGAAUCUGGGGAAUCCUCACUCAUUAUCGAGGUAACUUUGCAGUCAACAUAUGUCGGCCAGUUUGUUCAGACAGGAUGUCCUUCACGCUUGAAGGUCGCGGGAAACAUUACGUGUAAAACUGUCAAUGCGGUGGUGUAGAGGUUGGUCGAGAACUGGACCUGUUGCAUCAUCAUCAAGUCACGGAGAUCAUUUCGUGAAACUGGCAUGCGGUGGUUUAGAGGUUGGGUGAGAAUGACACGUGUUUGAUGACAAGAAGACCCAUCCCCAGCAACGUCACCUGCAGAAGGAAAGGCCAGUUUGCAUUUCAAUCGAAGGUCAUGGAGAUCUUUACGUAAAACGUUUCGUUGUAGAGGUUGGGUGAGAAAGGGACGUUUUGCAUCAUUAUCAAAAAGGUAAAAUAACCGCAAGGCUUAAGAGGAGGGGUGAGAAAAAGUCUUAUAAAAGGCGAGAGAAAAGUCGACAGGGAUCAGUCGAGCGACUAUCUCCGACACGGUAACAGCUGCUCUAUUUGCCAUCAGCUGCAUUCUUCAUCGUAUUAUCAGUUCUCAAUCAUGGUCGUACAAAAGGGCAAGGAAAAGGCGAAAUAAUUCAGCAGCCGAGUGAGCAUCUCCGACACGGUAACAGCAACUGCAGUGCCCCAAUUGUCACCAACUGCAUUCUUCGUCGAAUUGCUAGUUUAAAUCAUGGUUAACUAUGGCGUCAUGCUGCUGUUGGGUGAUGCAUCGUUGAUGGCUGGUUCAGCCACUGCCCAUUGGCGUACGGAUGUCUCCUGGUAAGGCGGAUAUGCAACGCCGCCACCUUACUACUCAACAUACGACACGACCAGUUGCUACACCGUGGCCCCCCUAGUACUGCACCAAGGCUCCAGAAUAUUAUAUCACAACUUAUGCUGCCCUGAGCUACUACACCGAAUCCCCGCAGUAUUUUUCUUCCCCGAGCUACACUACCAAAGGGUCGAUUACUACACGGAUGCGCCAAAGUACUACACCACCAAAGCACCGUAGUACUACACAACACUACAUAUCAUGGUCGUAUGAAAGGAGAGAAAAGGUGAAAGAAUUCAGCAGCCGAUUUAGGAUCUCCGUUACGUCUACAGGAACUGCCGUGCACCAUUUUUCAUCAACUUCAUUCUUCGUCGUAUCACAAAUUUUAAAUAAAGUUAACUAUGGUGUCUUGCUGCUGUUGGGUGUAGUAUCGUUGAUGGCCGGGUCGACCACUGGUGUACCGAUAUUUCCUGGGUAUGGUGGGCAUCAACAACAACAUGCGCAAAAACCACUUACUACACUGAGGAUCCCAAGUGCUACACCACCGAGGAUCAACUUUUUACCCCAUCGAAGCGCCCAAGUACUGCACUACAACCUACGUCGCCCCAGCUUACACGACGCAGGGAGCUGAGUACUACACGACGCAGGGAGCUGAGAACUACACGACGCAGGGAGCGGAGUACUACACGACGCAGGGAGCGGAGUACUACACGACGCAGGGAGCGGAGUACUACACGACGCAGGGAGCGGAGUACUACACCAAGGCUGCAGUUUACUUCACUACAACCUACUUUGCUUCAGAGUACUACACUGAUGUUUCAAAGUACUACACCAUUAAAGGCAUUUGAAUAGAAGCUCCGAAAGCACUUCUCUGUCCCGAGUUACUACACCACUAACGCAGCCGAAUUAUAUUCUACAAGGAAGUUCCUUAUUACUAGAACCGAAAUUUCUACUCGAGGUUAUUUACAUUUAUCGGUUAUUUUCAUGGUAGUUGGUCGCUGGGAAUCAAUUGUUGAUCUAAAAUGAGAAAAUAAAAGUUUUAAUACGGGUAA